rnacentral:rRNA from 1 species
CCUACGGGGGGCAGCAGUAGGGAAUUUUCGUCAAUGGGCGCAAGCCUGAACGAGCAAUGCCGCGUGAACGAGGAAGGUCUUCGGAUCGUAAAGUUCUGUUGAAGGGGAAAAAGAGCGGAGAGAGGAGAUGGCCUCCGAUUGAUAUUACCCUUCGAGGAAGUGACGGCUACGUACGUGCCAGCAGCCGCGGUAAUACGUAGGUGGCGAUCGCUAUCCGUAAUGAUUGGACGGAAAGGGUGCGUAGGCGGC